rnacentral:rRNA from 1 species
AACGAACGCUGGCGGCAGGCUUAACACAUGCAAGUCGAACGGGUGUAGCAAUACAUCAGUGGCAGACGGGUGAGUAACACGUGGGAACCUUCCUCGUUGUACGGAACAACUCAGGGAAACUUGAGCUAAUACCGUAUACGUCCGAGAGGAGAAAGAUUUAUCGCAAUGAGACGGGCCCGCGUCGGAUUAGCUAGUUGGUGGGGUAAUGGCCUACCAAGGCGACGAUCCGUAGCUGAUCUGAGAGGAUGAUCAGCCACACUGGGACUGAGACACGGCCCAGACUCCUACGGGAGGCAGCAGUGGGGAAUCUUGGACAAUGGGCGCAAGCCUGAUCCAGCCAUGCCGCGUGAGUGAAGAAGGCCUUAGGGUUGUAAAGCUCUUUUGCCAGGGACGAUAAUGACGGUACCUGGAGAAUAAGCCCCGGCAAACUUCGUGCCAGCCGCCGCCGUAACAC